rnacentral:rRNA from 1 species
UACGUAGGGGGCAAGCGUAAUCCGGAUUUACUGGGUGUAAAGGGAGCGUAGACGGCAGCGCAAGUCUGGAGUGAAAUGCCGGGGCUCAACCCCGGAACUGCUUUGGAAACUGUGCAGCUAGAGUGCGGGAGAGGUAAGCGGAAUUCCUAGUGUAGCGGUGAAAUGCGUAGAUAUUAGGAGGAACACCAGUGGCGAAGGCGGCUUACUGGACCGUAACUGACGUUGAGGCUCGAAAGCGUGGGGAGCAAACAGG